rnacentral:rRNA from 1 species
GACGGGGGGGGCAAGUGUUCUUCGGAAUGACUGGGCGUAAAGAGCACGUAGGCGGUGAAUCGGGUUGAAAGUGAAAGUCGCCAAAAAGUGGCGGAAUGCUCUCGAAACCAAUUCACUUGAGUGAGACAGAGGAGAGUGGAAUUUCGUGUGUAGGGGUGAAAUCCGUAAAUAUACGAAGGAACGCCAAAAGCGAAGGCAGCUCUCUGGGUCCCUACCGACGCUGGGGUGCGAAAGCAUGGGGAGCGAACAGG